rnacentral:lncRNA from 1 species
GAUAAUCAAGUAAGCAAGUAGCCGAAUGGAUUAGAAAACGGUAAGUAAACACGGUAAACGGUAAACGGUGGUAAUUACGGUUAAUUGGCAGACAUAUGUCAUUUUAAUAGGCCACCAUUGGCCGAUUUUCACUUUUUCCACAUAAGGGUCGAGGAGAUUCACUCCAACCGACUUAUGCUGUCAUAGCAUAAUUAAUCAUUUAAACACAUCAUGUAGAUAUGCUCUCCAAACAUUUCAUAUCUAGUAUUUCAAGUAAUCACAUAAAUAUGCUCUUUAAGCAUUUCAUAUCGAAUAGUUCAAAUAUACAUAUUUCAGGUAUUUCAUGUCAAGUAAUUCAAGUAUACCUUAUUCAGAUAUGCAUGAGUGUGGUAAAUACUUAACACUUAAUAAUCAUGGGUUAUGCAUGUCAUAGACUUAUUCCAAUUACGUAUUCCUAUAUGGAACACUCACCUAGUCAAAACAAGCGAGUAGUUUUCAAACAAGCGUUUUAGGUGUCCGCUCCGAGUUCCCCUUGGAGAUUCCCUCGAGUGCCUGAGUAAACAACCAUUAACUAUUAUACACUAUCACUUAGAACUCCUACUUAUCAAAGAAGGUUGUACAAUCUAAAGGGAAUUCAUGAAUUGGGCCUUAAUUAUUAAUAAUCGAGGCUCAAGAGUAAAGUUUUAAAGUCUAAAGAAAGAGACUAACAUUUUUCAUGAAAUCGAGUUAAAAAUGUUCAAUCGGUAUCGAGAAAAGAAGGCAAGUUUCCAAAAUCUCAUUUCUAAGAAAUUGUCAAAUUUUAGCUUUGGGUGUCAAUUCUAGAAAAAUCGUAUCUUGCACUACGUAGGUCCAAAAUUGGAAAGCUUGAUACCAUUGGAAACUACAUUCCGAGUACUACAAGUUUCUAGAAGACACUUUUCCAUGAUUCGAAAUGGAAGGUAUUCAAAAGUUGGAUCAAAGUUACUGCUGUAGAAUACUAAGACAGUUUCAAGGUUGGUUUUUGGCCAAUUUUGGAAAUUCAGUAAAAUUCACUUGUUUUGAACUAACCUUUGAAAUUUGGAAAUCAAAUAGUGUUGCAAUCCAAGAGUAUAACAAAACAAGCAGAUUGAGAAACGGAGUUUCGAGCACCAAGAUAUAGUAGCCCCAAGUUGAGGAAGAUUCAAGACUGAAGAAGAAUUUCCAGUUUUGAACCUCCAACACUAGAAAUUUAAUUGGGUAUCGAAACGAACUUGGAUUGGUACCAAAAUUGGCAGUAUUUUACUCCCAUAUGAAAGGUACCACUCUAUCAAAUUUCAGGGAAAAAUACUUUCGGUAAGAUAGUUAAUUAGUCAACCAAAGUUCAGGAAAAUUAUAAGGCAAUCUGCCUUGAGACUUUCAUUACCCAAUUCAAAACGUCUAAUCAAGCAAACUAUACAAUCAUGGUUCAUUUGUGAAAUAAAGGCCUAAGAAACAUCCAUAAUUCCUUUGGUAAGUGUUUAGUAUCAAGAACAUCAAUUAACAAGUUCACUCCAAUAUCUUGUUCCAAACCAGUCCAACAUUAGGGUUUUUCCAAAACAGAGCAGUCCACUUGUUUCAGUCACAACUCAGUCAAUUUAACUCGAAAUAGAGCAUGGCUUACGCCAUUGGAAAAUACGUUCAUAGGGGUAAAAUAUCACAGAAUAAAUCAUUUCCAAAUUCGGCACCAAUCUGGUUCAAAAUCGGGCAUCAAGUUGCUGCCUGAACACUUCAUUCCAGAUGAACAGAGCAACAGGACAGCGAACUUAAAACAUUUGGUUCGGCUUGCUCACAAAGAAUCAGAACGUGCAUUAUAUACCAAAUUAAAGCCAGGAAUGUCUAGUUUCCAACGCCACCAACGGCACAUGAUUUCGACAUCCGAGGACAGAGUUACAGCCAAAAUACUACCACUGGUCAGAAUCAUACGCGAACAGUUUUCCAGAUUGCUAGUUUCUCAAGAAAAAUUCAUUUGCUCAAUCAAACCUCAAUAUUUUCCAAUGAAAUUUUUCACACAUCUAAUACAUCCUAUAAACAUCUAAUUCAAGCCAUUAAACCAUUAAAAAUUGGCCUGGAAAUGGCCGAACAUGGCAGGGGCAAAAUCGGAAGUUUUUGCUUCUUACACCCAAUGAAGUUUCUACUAAUUACCCACCACUAAUGCAUCAUUAUAACCACUAAACCAACAAUAUAAUCACCAUCAAUCACCACAUCAGCAACAAUAACCCAAGUGUGGGAAUUCCAAGAGCCCACUAUCACAUUUUUACACCAUACACAAGCUAACCAAAUGCAUGCAUGAACUUAACAAGGUAAGAUAGCUUCCAAACUUCAAGUUUUCAAGAGUGGAUCAUCACUUACUUUGGGUUGAUGUUCAGCAGAAUUUUCGGCCCUCUAUUACCCCAGAAAAACCGUGAUUUCCAGCCCUUGUUUGCAGCUCAAAAUGAUCCUCAAGUGUCAAGCUAGGUGUGGUGCAAGUUUGGUUAAUUUUGGAGAUGAUUUGGGGUGGUUUUGAAUGAGAUUAGUGAGCAGAAAUUUUGUUGCAAAUGAGUUAGAGAGAGGAGGGAGCUGGCCGGCUGUUUGAAGCUCAAGAGAGAGAGAGAGUGAUCAGAUUUUAGCUUCCAAGAGAAGACAUUAACUUGUGGCCUCAAGUCACCCAUUAGUCAACUCACAUUAGGGUGCGUUUGGCGCGAUUAGGGCUCGAUUUUCUCGCGCGUUUGGUUCACUAGUGCACUAAACCUCUAAUGCACUCAUGUUAAUAUAAACAUUAUUCACUCUUAAUUGUCUCGAAACAAGGGUCUAAAGUUCCUCAAAUAAAGUCGCGCGUGUGAAAACGCGUACCGCCAAUUUUACCGCUAUAACGCGAAACUUCCGGGAAAUUCUUAUAACGAUAGUACUAAUAACUAUCACUUGAGUAUUUAAACAUUAAAAUACCGAAUUUAGGUCCAUUAUACAUGUCUCCAAUAUUCCAAACUUAUUGUACUCUCAAGCGGAUAAAAUCUUCAAGCACUAUUCACUGUUUUUACUAAACGCGCUCCAGGAAAUUAAUUCAUGAAAUGAGUUACUUUAAAAAUAUAACGAAGUUAUAUUACCAUGUAUUUAGGUCUAAUAAGACUAGAAAAUAUUCCUCGAGGCAAAUAUCCAAUUAAAUAAUUUAUUAAGCCACAAAUUAGGCUAAAAAAAAAAAAUAAUAGUUUUUACGAGUCCUCACAACCUCCCCUCCUUAAAAGAAUUUCGUCCUCGAAAUUCAUACCUUCUGUAAUCUCAGACAACUCUGAACCAUGUGGUGUGUUCAUGUUAUGCUUUCUUUCUGAUGCCAUUGGUCGGUUUCUCCUUCCAUUGACUUGUCGAGGGACAGUUCCAUUUCCUUGUGGAGCAGUAGUUUCUCGUGGAUACCUCCUUGGACAGUCAUGAACUUUAUGGUUGGUACUCCCACACCCCAUACACUUUCGUCCCUUUAGCCAACAGUUUUCUUCAAUGUGAUUCGUCCUUCCACAAUAUCCAUAAGUCGGACGAGGUGUUGUGACCUGACUGGCUUGCGAGGUUUUCUUUGAUCGUGUCUGUUCUACUGAAGUCCCUCGCGACAUAGUUCCUUUUGGUUCCUUUAUCAUGAGUGGUGCAGGAAAUAACAGUCCUACUCCAUCCACUUCUUUUCUAACUUUGGGUGGUGGUCCAUUUCCUCCUAGUGUACUAUCAGAUGCAUCUCUUUUCCUUGCUUGGAGAGCUCUCAGUUGAGAUUUUGUGCUUUCUACCCUUUGCGCUUUUUCGAGAGCGUCACUAAAUGUUUCAACCUGUGCUGCAACAAGGGCAUCUUGGAUUUCCAAAUCUAAUCCUUGGAUAAACCUUCUUAUUCUCUUCCGUUCAGUAGCCACCAAUUCUGGGGCAUAUGUAGAUAACUUUGUAAAGCGUGUUUCAUACUCAGCUACGCUCAAAGUUCCUUGACGAAGCUUUAUAAAAUCAUCUUCUCUCUUUUCUUGGACAAGUGGAGGAAGAAAUUUCUCAUUAAAUUCACGUACAAAGUUUAUCCAAGUCCUUAGGGUUUGAUCUCUUUCCCACUUGUUUCUUAUAACAUUCCACCAGGCUCGGGCUGCUCCUUCAAGUUGAAAUACAGCAAAGGUGACUUGUCUCUCCUCUGUGUAAUCCAAGGCAUCGAAUAUAUUUCUUAUAUUCUCUAACCAAUUCUCAGCCACCUCUGGAUCAGGUCCUCCAGCAAACUUGGGCGGAAAAAAUUUUUGAAACCGCUCUAAAGCUCGAUCCUCCCCUAUCUCUUGGUUUCCACGUUGGUUUCCUUGUCCAACACCUUGACCUUGUUGAGCUACCAAGAGCUCCAGGAUAUCCGUCAUGCGAGUUAAAACUUGUCCCAUUUGGUCAUUUCCUCUCCCAACACUUGACUCAACGUUUUGAUCAAUACCGGACCCAUUAGCUACUCUUUCAUUUCGGGGUUGUCUAGGUUGACGUUCCUUUCGUUGUCCUCUAGUUUCCAUGUUCACAACUAAUCUAUACGCACAUGCAUAACCCUCACACUUAGUUAAAAUUGAACUAUACUCAUAUACCAGUAGCAACAUUUAAAGAGAAUGAAGUCACUUACACAAAUAACAUUAUCACUAUGCAAGUAAACACAAACUAGAGUUCAUUAAAUUAUAAAACAAGUUAUGGCCAAGUAAAGUUCAUGCCAAGUCAAAGUCAAUAGCAAAAUAAACAAGUGAUCAUCACAAGUACAUUCAUCUUCAAGGCGCAGACUCUAAGUUCUACUCCCAUCGUCUCACUAUAAAAGAUCACAAGUAGGGAUUCACUAGAUUAUUGGAACUAGACGAUUCUCAUUCCCUAACAUGCUCGAUUUCAAUCCCAACACAAGGAUCUUUUGAGUUACAAUAUUUUCCAUCUUCCACUCUUAAUUAUUGUACCAUCUUAACCAAACAAUUAUUGGUUUCCUGCAACCAUUCACAUGAAAUAUCGAUUCAUUCUUAUUCCCCAAAAAUGGAGAUAUAAAGUCCUUAUGGUUGCCCUCAACUCUCAAGUACUCGGGUACAAGAAUCCGAAAUAAGGUAAUUCACAACUCGAGCCGGCCGGUCCCAAGACUAAAUCACCACAUUCGAGAUUCCUACCCAACAUACAUAUCAAAUUCCCUCCAAUUAUCAAGAUAAAGGUUUUACAACCUAUAACAUUCAUGAUUCACAGCUUACAUUUUUUGAAGGGCACUUAAACCUUUACUCAAUCACAUAGUAAGGACCAUAACACCACUUGGUCCUAUCUUGCUCCUUUGUAGAGACCACGUGAAUUGGCUCUAAAUUUCAUUGCUACAAGCAAUCAUUUAACUUUCAAACCAGUCCCACAGUCCGGCAUCCUAAACAUUUAAGCCUAGGAUACACUACAAAGAUCUGAACCCUAAGCUCUGAUACCAACUGUGACGCCCCCACUUCUCCCUAAGGCGAACCAAAGGGUAUCCGCGGGACGCCUGCCCAGCUCUCGCCGGGACUCACUACAAUCGAUCAUUCAAAAGCUCGAAAUACUUUAAGUAACCUCAAUACAUAAUUAAAGUACUUCGAAUAUCUCACACUUACAAUUAUGCAGCUUUCAAGCUUAAAUACAACCCAAUGGAAAAGGGGUACUAUAGCCAUCCGUUAUAAUAUAACUUAAAGUCUUCAAAAGAAAACAAUCUAGUACUACUCACGAGCACCCUUGGUCUCGAACCCUGUAAAAGAAAUCCACAACGUGGUAUGAGCUACACAGCCCAGUGAGGUUCCAAGACACUCUAACAGUUCAAAUAAAUCAAAUAAGUUGGGCAUAUCAUAUGCAUGGUUCAAGGUUACACAAUGGCAUGUUAUCAUGAGGUGAUAAUCAUUGUACAGGUAAUUUGAGACAUUUAUCAUGGUAUGAGACAUUAGCAUGUAUAGUUCACGAGUGAUUGGAGCUUAUUACAGGCAUAGCUCGGAUUUCAUGUUGGCAUUUAGCACGAAACAAUCAUUAUGAUACAAGGUAAACAUAUACUGUAGGAUACGGUGUUCCAGUGGAACUCUGUCGGUCAUCUGCACCUUAUGACUUCCGGAUCCCCUCGGUUUGACUGGCCAUCACCUUAUCCCUCCAGUGGUAAUACUCGAGUAUACCGAAACGGUUGUCCAGGGUUCCAACCUACCCGACCGAGCCCAGUCCUGGCUCGAGUAGGUCAGUAACCGAGGCAGGGCCCAAGUUCAGCUUAGAGCUUACAACAUGCACAAGUAAUCAAGUAAUUCGACAAAAGGUAAAAUUCAUCAUUUGAGUAGGUCGAGUGAGGUAAAGUACACACUCGCCUAACAAUGAUGGACAACUUCAUAUAACAUGCGAUUCAUGAUAAUCAAGUGAUCAAGUAAGUUGGUGAUCACGUAAGCAGAUAAUCAAGUAAGCAAGUAGCCGAAUGGAUUAGAAAACGGUAAGUAAACACGGUAAACGGUAAACGGUGGUAAUUACGGUUAAUUGGCAGACAUAUGUCAUUUUAAUAGGCCACCAUUGGCCGAUUUUCACUUUUUCCACAUAAGGGUCGAGGAGAUUCACUCCAACCGACUUAUGCUGUCAUAGCAUAAUUAAUCAUUUAAACACAUCAUGUAGAUAUGCUCUCCAAACAUUUCAUAUCUAGUAUUUCAAGUAAUCACAUAAAUAUGCUCUUUAAGCAUUUCAUAUCGAAUAGUUCAAAUAUACAUAUUUCAGGUAUUUCAUGUCAAGUAAUUCAAGUAUACCUUAUUCAGAUAUGCAUGAGUGUGGUAAAUACUUAACAUAUAGCACUUAACACUUAAUAAUCAUGGGUUAUGCAUGUCAUAGACUUAUUCCAAUUACGUAUUCCUAUAUGGAACACUCACCUAUAGCAACAAGAGAGUAAUACUCAAACAAGUGUCUAGGCGUCCACUUCGAGUUCUUCUUGAAGGUCCCC